UUUCUGAGUGUAUUUUUAUACCACGUAUGUUCCUUGAACUAACUUCUUUUCUAGGAAGAACUGGAACUAUGAUUUGUGCCUUCCUUAUUGCCUCCAAAAUAUUUUUAACUGCAGAGGAAAGCCUGUAUUAUUUUGGAGAAAGGUGAACAGAUAAAACCAACAGCAAUAAAUUUCAGGGAGUAGAAACUCCUUCUCAGAAUAGAUAUGUUGGAUAUUUUGCACAAGUGAAACAUCUCUACAACUGGAAUCUCCCUCCAAGACGGAUACUCUUUAUAAAAAGAUUCAUUAUUUAUUCGAUUCGUGGCGAUGUGUGUGAUCUAAAAGUCCAAACAGUAAUGGAGAAAAAGGUUGUCUUUUUCCAGUACUUCAUUAGGAAAUUGUUCGAUAUUGCAUGACACUGAAACAGACAGAGUAUUAACUGAUGUAUUCGACGGUCCCCCUCUGUAUGAUGAUGUGAAGGUGCAGUUUUUCUCUUCGAGUCUUCCUAAAUACUAUGACAAUUGUCCAUUUUUCUUCUGGUUCAACACAUCUUUUAUUCAAAGUAACAGGCUUUAUCUACCAAGAAAUGAAUUGGAUAAUCCACAUAAACAAAAAACAUGGAAAAUGUAUCCACCACAAUUUGCAGUGGAGGUACUUUUUGGUGAGAAGUGACUUACAAUUACGUUGUAGCUGGAUCCAAUUAAGUAUAGUUCCCCCUUCCCCUUCUGGGAAAGAAUUAUGUUCAUUCCAACCCCUGCCACAUAUUCAUAUGUCCUAAAUCUUCCUUGAUGAGAUAUCUGUAUUUAUAUAUGUUUACAUAUGUUCUUGAUAAAUCUGUUAAAUAUA